rnacentral:rRNA from 1 species
UACCAGCACCCCGAGUGUUCGGGACGAUUAUUGGGCCUAAAGCAUCCGUAGCCGGUUUUACAAGUCCUCCGUUAAAUCCAGCUGCUUAACAGAUGGGCUGCGGAGGAUACUAUAAGACUAGGAGGCAGGAGAGGCAAGCGGUACUCAGUGGGUAGGGGUAAAAUCCGUUGAUCCAUUGAAGACCACCAGUGGCGAAGGCGGCUUGCCAGAAUGCGCUCGACGGUGAGGGAUGAAAGCUGGGGGAGCAAACAGG